rnacentral:rRNA from 1 species
AAUCAACGCUGGCGGCGUGCCUCAGACAUGCAAGUCGAACGCGAAAGGCCCCUUCGGGGGCCGAGUAGAGUGGCGCACGGGUGAGUAACACGUAGGUAAUCUACCUCUGGGUGGGGAAUAACAGUCGGAAACGGCUGCUAAUACCGCAUAAUGCAGCGGCACCACAUGGUGACAGUUGUUAAAGCGGGGGAUCGUAAGGCCUCGCGCCUAGAGAUGAGCCUGCGGCGGAUUAGCUAGUUGGCAGGGUAACGGCCUACCAAGGCGACGAUCCGUAGCCGGCCUGAGAGGGCGGACGGCCACACUGGCACUGACAUACGGGCCAGACUCCUACGGGAGGCAGCAGUCGGGAAUUUUGGGCAAUGGGCGAAAGCCUGACCCAGCAACGCCGCGUGAAGGAUGAAGCUUCUCGGAGUGUAAACUUCAUAAGAAU